AAACUCACCCACUACAGUAAGCUAAUCACUUACCCCACCAAAUCAAUAAAAAUUUCAGCAGCAUGACAUGGCUAAUAUGAUAUUACCCAGCCUAUCAAGGUAAAACAAAACAAUUCAUAUAUUCCACACAAACACAAAUCCAGCCAUUCAUGCCAUCACAUUGUCAUAAGCCAUCAAUUCAAACCAUAUAUCAAACACGAGUAUAUAGUCUCCACUUACUCAAUUUUCAAAACCAGUAUUCGAUUUCAAAACAAGUUAUAAAUCUCAUUUCGUUUAACCAACACUUCAAUUUUAAAACAUAAUAAUUUACAAUUUAAACU
rnacentral:lncRNA from 1 species